rnacentral:rRNA from 1 species
UACGAAGGGGGCUAGCGUUGCUCGGAAUUACUGGGCGUAAAGCGCACGUAGGCGGUCUUUUAAGUCGGGGGUGAAAUCCUGGAGCUCGACUCCAGAACUGCCUUCGAUACUGGAAGACUUGAGUCCGGGAGAGGUGAGUGGAACUGCGAGUGUAGAGGUGAAAUUCGUAGAUAUUCGCAAGAACACCAGUGGCGAAGGCGGCUCACUGGCCCGGUACUGACGCUGAGGUGCGAAAGCGUGGGGAGCAAACAGG